rnacentral:sRNA from 1 species
GUAGCUUCCUUGUCGUGUGGCCUCAGUCCUUCGCCGUCCCUCGCCGUCCUUCGCCAUCGCACGCCACCGCACCCCAUCUCUCGAAAUCUGCAGACAUCUUGAUUUUUCCCACGCUGUCUGUCAGGUCUCCGCCGCCACUCGACGCCAGGGCGCCGGGUGAGUCCACAGCAGGGCGCAUGGUCGGCUCCACUCUCACCAUCGGGGGAAACUGAGGCCCCGGGGAAGGCGGCCAGAGAGGUCAGGCCCUGUCCUUGGUGCAGUGUCUCGUCCUCUUUGCCGGAGUGAGCCCCCCAGGAUUCGCGUGUCCUCGGGAAAGACACUGGCGGGCCUUGUGGGCUGUGCUGCACCUCGGACGGCUUCGCACCAGCCAGCGCCCUCUCUCUCCUGCAGCACUCUGAUCUGCACCCCCUGAGGGGCUUCCACUGUCCGCGGGGUGAGAAUGCCCCUGGGAGUGUCACAUGACUGCCGCCCCAUGUGUGUGAGAGGCGUCCUCUGGGAGAGCAUGGAUCCUGAGGUCCCAGGAACAUCCCGAGAGCCAAGUUCCCAGAUGCCAGCCAAGGGCCAUCUGACCUGUUUUGAAUCUCAAUUUCCUGAUACAGAAAACAAAGGAUUGUCAGCUGACCUCUGUCCUGUGUGCCCAGUGGCCCCAGGUGACGUGUCUUCAAGAAGAGGCUGAGCUGCGGUGCUUGUAAGGGUCUCAUUCUGUCACCCAGGCUGGAGUGCAGUGGUGCAAUGAUGGCUCACUGCAGCCUCGACCUGGGCUCAAGUGAUCCUCCACCUCAGCUUCCUGAGUAGCUGGGACCACAGAGUCAUGUGCUGUUCCUGGGGCUUGGAUGAUGUAGGGGAAGCAAGGUGAAAGUGGUAUCCCGUGGUUCCACGUUCUGUCCUGCUGUGGGGCUGUCCCUCACAUGCUUUCAGUGGCUGUUGCAGAGGAAGAGCCUCCGGAAAUCUGCGUGGGUAAAGUCUCAGCCUUAGAUCCAAGGACAGUCCAAGGAAGUCCUAAGACCAUGGAGUUGGUGAUCUAGGAUCUGGGUUUGCUGAUAUUUCUCACCGUGAAUCUCUUGGUGGUGUUUGUGGGCACGAGAGGGGCAGAGAAUGGAGAGUGAGGCUACCACAUGAAGCGUCACCAGAGCUGCUCCCUGCUGCCUGCUCAGAGCACCCCGGAUCCACUGUUCAAUCUGCACAAGAUUCGGGGUCCAGACAUGGGAGACUUCAGCUGCCUCAGAGGACCGUGGACAGGGAAGGCCAGCCUCGCAUCCCUCUGUCCAUGCCUGGAAUGACUUUAAUAACCAAGAGUUUUAUUUUUGAAUUUGUAGCUGUCGUUCACUUUUUACCCACCCAUUCAAUAAACCUUACAGAAUUGC